AGAUGAAUGACUUUUUUUUACGUCUUGUUAGUGACCUAAGGUUACAAGAAAUGGUCUUUAAUUACAACAUUUCCGGGAAAAUGCUGCACAAGUGGAAAUCGAAAGCGUGUGAGGCUCUUCUGCGACCGGCACGAAGAUAUUACUGUACUUUAUGUAAACGACGUCAGUCAUGUUGCAUCAUCUUUGAAGGGCCAGAAAAAAAUUACUUUUGCAAAAAAAAAAAAAAAAAAAAAAGAAAAAAAAGAGUACUUUUAAUAUCCCGAUUGUAAAUAAUUAAUCGAGAACUGUUUCCCCCAAAACUACUACAUUUUUGCGAGUUUAUGUGGUACAGAAAGUGGAUGAAUCUACACACAGCAGCUUCAGUGGAGAAUUUCUGUCACACCAUCCAUGCCUGUCAGGAGUCAGUGCAUUAGCGGCACCAGCUGCUCCCGAACAGCAUCCCGUUGUAUUUGCCAUUUCUUGCGCUGCCGUGGAGACGAACGACACCAGAUAAGGAGCGGAAAGUUACCAUCCCGGCCCAGGAUCAGACUGCGAGGGGGACCAGCCACUUCCACCAAGGACCCAUACAGAUAAAAACCCUGUGUUACCGGGCAGCCCUUGUCUUCUUCUUGGGUCAUCUUGUCAGAAGACACACGUCCCGUGUGCAGCAGAUGCCUUGAUAAGACCCGCACGUCUGUAUUGCACAUUCCUUUGUAA